rnacentral:rRNA from 1 species
AUACGUAGGUGGCAAGCGUUGUCCGGAUUUAUUGGGCGUAAAGCGAGCGCAGGCGGUUUUUUUAAGUCUGAUGUGAAAGCCUUCGGCUUAACCGAAGAAGGGCAUCGGAAACUGGGAGACUUGAGUGCAGAAGAGGAGAGUGGAACUCCAUGUGUAGCGGUGAAAUGCGUAGAUAUAUGGAAGAACACCAGUGGCGAAGGCGGCUCUCUGGUCUGUAACUGACGCUGAGGCUCGAAAGCGUGGGUAGGC